rnacentral:lncRNA from 1 species
UCUUUCUGCUACGAAUGUUAUUUGUAUCUUCUUUCCAAUGCCAAAUUAUUUUUUAAGAUAUAAUUAUUUCAUAUCCUGUGAAAUAAAUGAUUUGCACAUUUGUCUGUUUUGUAUUUUAUUCCUCUGCUUUGCUAUGUGGCUGUGUUAAGUCUAACCAGCGUCUCUUUUUUGUAGAUGAUUCUUGAAAAGAAAGUGAACAGCCGUCCAAAGGAGCAAAUGCAGAGAGAAGACAUUCAGUUAAGUCAGUCUCAACCCAGACCCUUUUUGCCAUAUUCCAAUUCUGCGACUUUAACCACCAGGAAAAGCCAGAGAGCACCAACACCGCCUCUCCUAAAGCAUCCACACACGCAUGCUGGAGCUACAGCUCAUGUCCAGCCAGAAGUAUCCAGCCAGAGUGAAGACGGAGCGAGAUCUCUAUGUCAGAGAUCGAGGAUCAGUGUGAUCUACAACCCCAUAACACACUCUACUGUUCAAACAGGUAAUGCAAAUUCUGGUGCUGUGAUCAGGAACUAUUCUGCACCACCUCCGCAACAGGCAAGAACCGCCAGCAAUGGGAAACCGAGGAGACAAAAUACACGGGCAAAUGCAAACACUCAGCUACUUCCUACAAGUGUACAGAACCUUUGUAAUGGAGAAGAUCAUGCUACACAUACCCUGUGCUUUAUAUUUGUUCCCUAAAAGGCUAACACUGACCAUUGGCAGUGACAAGACAUCGGGGUAGAUGCUCUCCAGGAUUGUGACUGAUCAUAUGUUAG